CAUUCACUUGAGAGUUAAAGGAGUCUCUCUUUAAAUACAGCACGGCCCUUUUUUUCUCUCCAGUCUAAUUUCUCAAGAGAGAAACUUUGGAGGGAGAGAGAGAGAGAGAGUGUUGAGAGAGAAUGAGGCUACUCCUUAUUCACAUCAAUGGCUUCCAAACCUUCCAUUAAUUGUAGAGUUUUUCAGUGGGUAAUAAGAAAUUUCUCAAUCACAAAAAUGUUGAAGCUGAGAAUGGGUAGUGUCGGCAAACAAUUGCAGUUCAGGCGGAGGUGGAACAUAAUGAAGCGGUUCACUGUUGACGGUUGGGAACCGUCGACCACAUCAUGAAGCUCAAGAUACCUGGCCGCGUGAUCAUUCAAUGCCGAUCCAGCCUUUUAGAUGUUGUCAAAAAUGAUUGUGGUACAUGGCAUCUGAAAUUUAAAUUCAAAUAUACUGAAGCCGAGAAACGAGAGGAGAAAUCCUUUAAAGGAGAACUUUGGCGACUCGUAAAGGAGUUGGAGAAGUCGAGAUUUAUACUUUUCCAGAAUUCUGACAUCUCUAAAACAGAAGCAAUUAAAUUAGUCUACGAAUUUGAAAUCUCCUCACUGAAUGCAAAGGAAGUGUUUAUGGAUACCACCAAUACAAAAGUAGUACUCAUUCACGAAUACUUUGACGAGUACUUCAAUAGGUGGAUGGUAGACAUCCCAAUGUAAGAGAUGAAAGAGAUGACAGUUUUGUAAACAACAAAUUGAGUGAUUUUUGGAAGAAGUACAUCACGUAAAGGAAUUGAUUUAGAAUUUUUAUUUUUUGCGUAAGUAAUGUGAUUUAAAUUUUAGAUAUAUUUCAGUUCCAUAUUCCUAACAUAUUUUAUUUUUAUUUUCAA